UGUCACUCAAUACUCGAAAGUUGAAGCCAACAUAACAAAUGAGCGGUUUUUGUUUUCAGUAUCCGGGGUUUGGUUUCUGACUAUUGAUCGAUUCGAUUGACUGCUUGCCAUGAGCCCCAGCAGAAACCCAACGAGUUUUCUUCACCAUCGUCUUCUGCAUCAUCAGCAAUGGAGACUCAGCUCCUCCACCGCAGCCACCACCAAAAGAGUCAUUAGCUCGGCGUUACAGUUUUAUAUACAGGGCAUUUGAAGUAAGGAGCAUUUGGAUUGCAGGGCCAAUAAUUUAAUUCCUUUACCUUCUACCCAAGCAUGAAGGGGAUAACCUUUGCUUCCACCACAUCGUGCACUGGGGGGAAGUUGGGGAGAAGAGGGGAUGGAUUGCUUGGGCAUUUGGAAAUUGUCUGGUUACUAUAUGAUAAGACAAAUAUAUAUAAUAAUAAAAAAAUAAUUAAAAAAAAAAAAAAAACAUGGAGGCUGUGUAUUCACUAUUCAUUCCAAAGUUGAUAGAUUAUAAUCUUUUAUGCUUUGAUCCUAUAUGAUGGUCGUUAGUGCUUAUUCAAGGCUAGGCAUGAUACAGUUAAAGAUGAGUUUGCUGUGUGUCAACUCAAGAAGAAGUCAGGUUUGAGAAGGAAAAAUUGGAAUAUACAAGAAAACUUCAGGGGUGGUAAACUGGUUUCAUUACAUUGAAAUGGAAGUAGAGUGAGCAGUCUGAUAAAGGAAAUAUAUUCCUUGCAUGUUAUGAUCCUAUAUAGUUUGAGAGCCUACGUCUUUAUGCGGACAAAGAAGAAAGAUGAGCACAUAGAGGAAGAAAUUGCAACACCAGUUUCAACUUUCAACCACAGCUGCAAAAACUUCUCCUCUUGCUGAAAAUCCCUUCCCCCCUCGCCACCCAUCACAGAGCCUGUGAUGUUGCGGGAACAAAUUCCAGAGAAUCAGCAAUGCAAACUGUUCAAGUGAAUGUUGGAAGAGAAAAGGAAGAACAAAUCGAAUGAUCAUGAAGAAAAGAAGCGCAUUAAGAAAAAGCCAUUCUCAAACAGAUUAUUUGAGUAAUAUCUAUCCCUAGUUUCUAAUUUUUAAUACUAUCAAUGAACAUUUUCCUUCGUUGUUACAUGAAGUUUUAUUUAUCAUUUAUUCAAA